rnacentral:rRNA from 1 species
AUUGAACGCUAGCGGGAUGCCUUACACAUGCAAGUCGAACGGAGUGGCGAACGGGUGAGUAAUGUAUCGGAACGUGCCCAGUAGCGGGGGAUAACUACGCGAAAGCGUAGCUAAUACCGCAUACUAUUGGAGCGGCCGAUAUCGGAUUAGCUAGUUGGUGGGGUAACGGCUCACCCAGGCGACGAUCCGUAGCUGGUUUGAGCGGACGACCAGCCAGACUGGGACUGCACAACGGCCCCAACUACUACGUGAGGAAGCAGUGGGGAAGUUUGUACAAGGGGGGAAACCCUGAGCCAGCCAUCCGGCGUGUGCGAGGAGGGCCUUCGGGUUGUAAAGCACUUUUGGCAGGAAAGCGGUACCUGCAGAAUAAGCACCGGCUAACUACGUGCCAGCAGCCGCGGUAAUAC